AUAGUUGGAUUCGCAUCAAUUCACAUGUGUUGGGAUGGAUGGAUUGGAGUAAAACUUAAACUAAAUUUCACCACAAUCCACUUCAACACACGUGAUUGAGGUAAAUCCGACA
rfam:Sorghum bicolor cultivar BTx623 chromosome 6, whole genome shotgun sequence.